rnacentral:rRNA from 1 species
GAUGAACGCUGGCGGCGUGCCUAAUACAUGCAAGUCGAGCGAACAGAUAAGGAGCUUGCUCCUUUGACGUUAGCGGCGGGCGGGUGAGUAACACGUGGAUAACCUACCUAUAAGACUGGGAUAACUUCGGGAAACCGGAGCUAAUACCGGAUAACAUAUUGAACCGCAUGGUUCAAUAGUGAAAGGCGGCUUUGCUGUCACUUAUAGAUGGAUCCGCGCCGUAUUAGCUAGUUGGUAAGGUAACGGCUUACCAAGGCAACGAUACGUAGCCGACCUGAGAGGGUGAUCGGCCACACUGGAACUGAGACACGGUCCAGACUCCUACGGGAGGCAGCAGUAGGGAAUCUUCCGCAAUGGGCGAAAGCCUGACGGAGCAACGCCGCGUGAGUGAUGAAGGUCUUCGGAUCGUAAAACUCUGUUAUCAGGGAAGAACAAAUGUGUAAGUAACUGUGCACAUCUUGACGGUACCUGAUCAGAAAGCCACGGCUAACUACGUG